UCAUCUCCAUCAUCUCUCCCACCACUAGAGUCACAGGGAUUCUCGUUGCUGCUGUUAUUCCACAUGAAAUUAUGAUAAAAAAUCUCAUUCCUUGACAGAACAGAAGAGCUCUCACUUAAACUAAAAUCUCUGUCAGCUGAACUAGAAUCAACAUCUGAAGACAUAGCAGCUACAUAAUGACAAUCAUGAGAACCAGAGUAAACUUUGGCUCGCUUA
rnacentral:misc_RNA from 1 species